rnacentral:tRNA from 1 species
CGGCACGUAGCUCAGCAGAAGAGCACCCGGCUCGGGACCGGGAGGACGCGGGGGCGGAACCCGCCGUGCCGG